rnacentral:ncRNA from 1 species
UAAGAGUCAUAUGACUGACGGAUGUGGAUUACCACAAGGGAGUAUGACGGAAAAGGCCGACCGUCUGGGCAAACCAC